rnacentral:rRNA from 1 species
GACGAACGCUGGCGGCGUGCCUAAUACAUGCAAGUAGAACGCACAGUUUAUACCGUAGCUUGCUACACCAUAGACUGUGAGUUGCGAACGGGUGAGUAACGCGUAGGUAACCUGCCUGGUAGCGGGGGAUAACUAUUGGAAACGAUAGCUAAUACCGCAUAAUAUUAAUUAUUGCAUGAUAAUUAAUUGAAAGGUGCAAUUGCACCACUACCAGAUGGACCUGCGUUGUAUUAGCUAGUAGGUGAGGUAACGGCUCACCUAGGCGACGAUACAUAGCCGACCCGAGAGGGUGAUCGGCCACACUGGGACUGAGACACGGCCCAGACUCCUACGGGAGGCAGCAGUAGGGAAUCUUCGGCAAUGGACGAAAGUCUGACCGAGCAACGCCGCGUGAGUGAAGAAGGUUUUCGGAUCGUAAAGCUCUGUUGUAAGAGAAGAACGGGUGUGAGAGUGGAAAGUUCACACUGUGACGGUAUCUUACCAGAAAGGGACGGCUAACUACGUG